rnacentral:SRP_RNA from 1 species
CCCGGGCGCGGUGGCGCGUCCCUGUAGUCCCAGUUACUCGGGAGGCUGAGGUAGGAGGAUCGCUUGAGCCCAGGAGUUCUGGGCUGUAGUACGCUAUGCCGAUCGGGUGUCCCACUAAGUUCGGCAUCAAUAUGGUGACCUCCCGGGAGCGAGGGACCACCAGGUUGCCUAAGGAGGAGUGAACCGGCCCAGGUCGGAAACGGAGCAGGUCAAAACUCCCGUGCUGAUCAUUAGUGGGAUCGUGCCUGUGAAUAGCCACUGCACUCCAGCCUGGGCAACAUAGCAAGACCCCGUCUCU